GAUGUCAAUUUGCCCCGCCCAUCCCCGAAACCGCGGUGCACCGCCCCUAACGGGGCGGUUUUUCCCCGCAAAAACGGGGUGACGGGGCGGGCUUGGGCUUACUCUCUUAGACCCGAAGCGGGGAUGGGCCGGGACCGGGUAUUAAAGACCCCGGCCCGAACCCGGCCCGUAUAUAUUACUUUUUUUUUUAAUAUUUUGAAAAUUAAAAUUAAACUUAUUCGAUUGGUUAUGGGCUGAAAUUAAUGGUAUGAAAAAUUAAAUUUUAUAUUUUUUUGUGUUUAAUAAUUUUUGUAUUUAUUGUUAACUAAUUAAUCUCAAUUUUGUUAGCUUCAUCUUCUUCACUGUAUGUUGGAGCUUGUUCUUCUACUAUGAGUGACAUAGAAAUUGAUGAGGAGCAAUUAACUCUUACGGAACAUUCUUUCAUGGAGACUUAAGGAAAUGAGAAGUAAAACUUUAUUAUGUGUGCAUGUGUAUUUUUAUAAAUUUUAUGUUUAUGUAUUUGGAUUAUAUUAUAUUGUAUUUUUUGAGAAUGUAUGUUAUUAAAAUUAUAAAUUUGAAUUUUGAUAUCUUUUAUUGUA